rnacentral:sRNA from 1 species
AUGGCUGUCGUCAGCUCGUGUCGUGAGAUGUUGGGUUAAGUCCCGCAACGAGCGCAACCCUCGUCCUAUGUUGCCAGCGGGUAAUGCCGGGGACUCGUAGGAGACUGCCGGGGUCAACUCGGAGGAAGGUGGGGAUGACGUCAAGUCAUCAUGCCCCUUAUGUCCAGGGCUGCAAACAUGCUACAAUGGCCGGUACAAAGGGCUGCCAUCCCGUGAGGGUGAGCGAAUCCCAGAAAGCCGGUCUCAGUUCGGAUCGAAGUCUGCAACUCGACUUCGUGAAGCUGGAGUUGCUAGUAAUCCCGGAUCAGCAUUGCCGGGGUGAAUACGUUCCCGGGCCUUGUACACACCGCCCGUCACACCACGAAAGUCGGCAACACCCGAAGCCGGUGGCCCAACCGCAAGGAGGGAGCCGUCGAAGGUGGGGUCGGUGAUUGGGGUGAAGUCGUAACAAGGUAGCCGUACCGGAAGGUGCGGCUGGAUCACCUCCUUUCUAAGGAGUACCACCUCGCCGCCGGCCGUCAGGCCGGAUCACGGAGAGGCACUCCCAGUUGGUGCACUGGCGGUCCGUCCUCGUAGACGUCGAACGGUGGAGAUUCAGUUCUCCUGUUCGCCGGCUCGAGUUCGGACUCCGCGUCCUCUCUUCUGUUUUGAGGGAGCCACCGACAGCGUUGCAGGCCUUUGAGGCCUCCGCUGCUCCGGUGCGGCUUCUUCUGCCCCUUGAGAAUUGCAGAGCGAGCACGAGCAUCUUUAUUUACAUAGAGAAAAAACUUGUUCUUCCAAGCUACAAAGAGCCAACGGUGGAUGCCUUGGCGUCUCGAACCGAUGAAGGACGUGGGUGACUGCGAAAAGCCACGGGAAGCUGUCGACCGAGCGUUGAUCCGUGGAUGUCCGAAUGGGGAAACCCGG